rnacentral:lncRNA from 1 species
UUUCAUUCGAUUUAAGUUAAGUACAGACGACCAGUUACUAGAAAAUAAGAAUCAUCUGCUGGACUCGCUUUGAUUCUUAACAAUCUUAUCUGGCUCGCUUUUCUUAAGUUACCUUACUUACAGACUUACUGACUGGAUGUGGAGUUGUGGCAUCCAAGACUUGUUUCUAGCAAGCGAGUUACAUAAGAAACCGAAUCUCUAAGCUAAGUUCCUAUGACUUUCGACUUGUUGAACCAGGUUCGUAUUCAUAUUAAUUUGGAGUUUGCUUGCUCCCCUCGAGACAGAUUUUCACUACAAAUAAAAUAACCGGAUAGAGAGAUUUCCUUACUUAUAGAGUAGAGCCAGACUGUGCUUCUCCAUUCAUUCCUUACUUUGGCUUUAACCCAACCUUAUCAGAUCCAAACUUAGCUUACUUGGCUGUUUUGCUCGUGAGACAGAGGGAUUCUACCACCUGCGGCCUAAUAUAAUAAUAAACUUAAUAAUUUGACCGAGGUAUUUGGAUGUGGCUCGCACUAAUCUUAUCCGAGACAGAGGCUCAAAUAAAUAAACUCCUGAGACUGGCCUAAAAGAGUUAAUUGGUGCUCUGCGAGACAGGGUUUUUUGGAAAGCUGGAACUCCAGUUCAACGAUUCCUUCCGAGUGUAAGAAGCUAGACAGACCGGGGCAUUUACCGGGGGGGUUACCUAAUAGCUAUGGCAAGGAAAGAAGCAAGCGUCACAAACGUAUUAAAAAAGUCAAUGUUCGAAUUCACAGGUUAGUUCAAGCUCAGACAGAACAAAGAGCUAAGACAGCUCGUGCUUUCAAGCCUGCCGGGUACCUUCUUAUAUUAUAGCAGUACCAGAGGUUCCUACAGAUUGAUUUGAAUAGAACACUACACUAUAGAUUCUUGACAACCAUUUCCAUUAGAUGGACAAAUAGAAUGUGCUUAUCUCUUUCCUCUCAAUUGUUUUCAGUAAUUCGAUAUUGACAUUUUGUGAUUAGAUCAAAAAGAUUACUGCCACUCAGAUCAUUUCCAACUUCCUGCUCAAUCAACCUCCUUAGUUGAAAACAAUUCCUACUAAACUGGGAUCAAGGAGAACCCCCUUUCCCAAAGGGGAACCACCAUGAGCUAAACUAGGAUAGGAAAUCCAGAAAUGCAAGAAAAGAGAGGAAUGCUAUAUAAUCCAUUUUACCGCUCAUCCUCUUUCAAAGCUAAGUUCCUAUGUGAAUGAAAAACAAAAUGAAAAUGAAUCAACCUUACCCUUCCCUUAAUGUUUGUAACGUAGGCAUGUGUUAAGCUAAUGGAUUUCUGUUCAGUACUUGCUUACUACCUUUCUAGUUGACAGGGACAGGCGAGUUGAAAUAAGAGAAGAAUGAAGGCCUUCAUAAGGAGUUAUAGAUAACCCAGUCGUGGAAGUUAAUGAGUUAAGCCAAGGUAGGUAAGUAAAGAUUGGAGUGAUGGGAAAGACUAUCUGUUUCCUGUAGAUGAGCUAGGCAAAGAACGUUCUCAAGGAAUAUCUCUAUCGUAUUCAUAGCUCGUCUCGUAUUGAUGGAUAAAGAUGCGAAACCUUUGCUGAGGAAUAAGAGUGCUCUUGGGAUCCAGCUGCUUUCAAAUCUCUAUACUUUACUUUACUACAACUAGAUUUCACAAAGCCGUAUAGGCAUCCGUUGUUGGGAAUUCCGUUAUAGGGCUUGGUAACUACGGUCAUAUACGCUAUGGAUAUUAUAAAAGGGCUGUUCUUAGGUGAAGCUGGGCCCUGAGCCAAUACCAGCCCGAUACUGGUAUCUCGAUACGCAUUUCUUGAAACUGGCACUGCACCUGCGCCCACGCCCUCGGACGAGUUAUAUUCCUUUUUAGCUAUAUCCCCCCAGUCUCUACUUCUUCUAUAUCUGAUGAUACCUUAGCCGGGGGACGACUACGAGGAAGAAAACGAAUGAAGGCCUAUUUCCUUUUCCCGGUGGUGGCUACCUCGACUCCAAUAACAAAGAAGAACUGUAACCCGUACAGCCAAUCUAGACUAGACGAAGAAGUUUCGAUAGCCACACCAAUAGACUGAAUUAGUCCUUCUACCUGUCCGAAGCGCCUCUAUCAUUUGGCCGAGAAAGGCGUCGGCAUAAUAAGAUAGGAUAGAAGAUAGAAGCCAGCUAUGUGCCAUUGUAAAAAUGGUUUGCUAUCACCUUGACCUAAAGAAAAAAGUUUUCUUCUAUGGCUCCACUCGCUACUUUUUUUCCGCUCGUUCCCUAUCUAUGGUCGAGCACUUCGUUCAUGAGUUGCUAUCACUUUAGCUGUAAUAACUAGAACUUCUGCUAUCUUCUCAAGCAAGUUCAAAUUGCUUUCCUUAGGACGAGCUUUUAAGGCAAAGUAGAAAGAGCUUAUUUAUUCGUCGAUAAAAAGCCUUUACUUAAAACUAAAAAGGAAUAGAACCGAAAGCUCUUUUCCAAUAUAAAUGUCAACAAGCACCUGACAGACGCUCAUCUACUUCCAUUUCCUAUUUUUUAUCAAUAUCCUUCCCUUCCCUUCCCUUAUAGUUAUAGUUAUAGAUAGUAUUCUUUCCUUCGCUUUUCUUCCUCUGGGCAUCAAAGGAGGGCGUAGACCAAUAUUUCAUUAAAUAAAAAAGCUCUUCAUCGCUGGAAACGGACUCGCUUCGCUAGCUCUAGGUGAAUUUGCAAAACGGGGAAGAAGGGUAUUUUAUUUCGAAAGUCAACCGUUCCCGUAACCAGAACCGAACAAGGAAGCUGGGCGUAGACCCGUUACUUCUUACUUUACUACGGUGGAGGGGAUGCCAUUAUUCCAAUGCGUAUUGACUACGUCGUAGGAACAGCGAUAGCGAUUGCGUGGGAACACCUUUCGCUCGAGGAGAGGAAUGCGGACAACCGGCGAAUAGUUUUCAGAUGAAGGUACAGAUCCGGAUUCACGGAUCAAAAAAGCAAGGAGCUCCUCAUUAGAGGACAGACCCAGCGCUCGAGGAUACGGAUUCGAUUGACCCUCUCCAUUUGCUAGCGCUUGAUACGAACCCUAGAGAAUGUGCUAUUCCCUUUUCGCUAGCUCACAUGCAUGUCCUAUUCCUCAUUCGCUACGGAUAUCCUUCAGCUUCCUGCUUCCGCUUCUUCUAUAUCUGAUUCAACCUUAGCCGAGGAGGGUUCAUUUUAGUUUCAUAUAUAUGGGAAAUCCUUACUUCACAUUUUUACCUUGGCUUGGGAAGUCACCACAGGAUUUGAUAAAACUCAUCUUCAUAUAUAUGUAUAUGUAAAAGUAGUGCUUUCAAUAACAAAACCUUUGCUUUGAACUGCUUUUCCAAGGAUCUACACUGGGCUAACUUGAAUCUGUUUACUUCACUUCUAUUUGAAACUACUCCUCCCGUCGAGAGUUUCUUUCUAUAUGAUAAUUUGAGAUUGCUCUACCGGACCUGAGUAGUAAGUGUUGACUCAUGCGAGUCACUCCUUCUCAGCUUUGACUUCUUGGCUGGCUUGAUGCUCAGUCUGGCCAAGGGGAUGACCCCCUUUUCUCUACUUUACUUUGUUUAGCUUUGCGAAUGAUACUUUUUCUUUUAAAUAAAGCUUUUUCAAAAUUCUAUUGCAGCACUUUUGCUAGAAAAAAAGCACGCACAAAAAGCACAUUUCUUCCUAGUACUUUUAUUUUUCACCCACCCAUAGGAAAGAUACGUAGCUCGGUCAGGGCAUAUCCUAAAGCCAUUGCCUCCAGCCAGUAGUAGUGGUAGGUAAGCAUCUUAAGUUAGGGGUGAAAUUGCUUUUCUGACAAGGAAAGGGAUUGUAGGCAAGCCUGUAUAAUUUCCUCUUACCUCUUCUCUGCAUUUCCAUCUUUCAACAUAUUCCCAAGCCUGGUGCUCGCUCGGUAAUUUCUUGUUUCACUGCUGCCUCUAACUUAUUUGGUUUAAAGCCUUCAUUGUACGACUGAGGAUUGGGUAGAUGCUGAUUCCGCGGCUCAGAUUCAAAUAGAACAGAACUGACCACUUUCGUCUGAAUCAUAAUUUCUCGAAAGAACUCUUUCGAUAAUGUGUUUUUAUUCCACUCAAUUAGAUAUAGAGAUGCUAGACUGGACUGUCUGCUUUCUUAGUGGACACGAGACCCUGCUCCUUCUUCUUUCUCAUUUGCCUCUUUCUUGAUCGUUUAGUUCUUGGCUUUCAUCCCCAGUGAGUAACUACGGCACGAAAGAGUAACGUAUAACGUGACGAUCCUAAAAGAGAACCAAAAGCUAGGCAGAAGAAGAAUUCCAUUCAAGCGAAGAACAGAGUGAAAACAAUCCGCGAACCGAUGAUCAUUUUUCCACUGACUGCUAUAAGAUAUAACUGAAUAUUUGGGUCUUUAAAUGGCUUUUUCUUCUUCUUCCGUGAUUCGGUAUCAGAGCAACGAACUUCUAGGACUGAUCUAGGUUGGAAGUUCGCUGGGGUUGCCUAGCGAUAUCACUUAGCUCAAUCUAAAGAUAUCUGAGCUUGUACCGCAUGGUUGGAGGCAAGAAAAGCAGAAGCACCAAUGACCUAGCCACCGAUCAGUAUAUUAGAAGGUUUUAUAAGCAGCUCUUUCUUAGCUUAUAUAACUGCACCGUAUCCAACGUACGCUCAUAUAGGCUCAACUAGUAAUACCAAUGUAGGAACUCCGAUUGGUUUCUCACAGGUCGGAUCCAAUAAUAUAAUAAAUAGACUUUAUGGUAAGGAGAACGAAGCUAGCAAAGCCAGGCAGAGAGAGUUCUUCUUGAUAGGAAUAUCGGGAGAAGGGCUUAUUGAUAGGAAUAGAGAAGCAUAGGAGGAAAACAGGGCGGAUGACUCUAUGACUUGUAAAAAAUAGGGCUUGUAAGGAGUCUAAUAAAACUAGAAUCGUUACGUUACUUGGUAUUACUAGUCUAGUAAAGUAGAUAUGUUUUUUCUCGCCCAUUUUUCUGCCGUCUCAUAUGUAUGAGUAGCAGUAUUGGCAUUGAAAGAACGUGGGUACAGGAAAUAGGGCGGUGGGGGCUAGGCUAGGUCAUGUGUCUAUUGGGAUAGGUAAGAGUUUAUGGAGGUCUCACUCUUCUAUGAUAUGGGUCUUUUGUACUACUCCUCUCUUCUUGUCGUACUCGUCUUUGCAGUGAAAUAAAUGGUUUUGGGUAUGGAGAACUAUGAGAUAGAUCACUUUCUUACAACUUGAUUUAUUCAAAGCAAACUAGAUACCAUAUCUACAGGUCCGUUGGAGAACUCUAAGUAGUAGUUGAAGCAAGGCAUUAGGAAGAUAGGUCCCACGUAGGGAGGGGAGUUUCUAAUUGGACGUGCAUUCAUUCCCUGGGGAGGGAGUACCGCUUUAAGUGCCGGAUUUGUACACAUAGUAUAGUAAAGACAUGAGGGUAUUCAAUUUUUGAAUAUAACAUGAAAGAAACCUCUCUCCUCUAGCUGGAGAAAGAAGGCUGGUUCUCGGUAGUCGAGGAGAGGUGGAAUCUUUCUUAGAACGGAAUGUUAAGACACGACCCAACAUGUUUCCAGGCAGGUAACGUAUAGAAGACUGAAAGUUGAAGUUCCGGUGGGUCUCGUCAAUCCUUCCUUAUUGCGCCUGCCCCUAAUUGGAGCUCUUCUUAUCUAUUUCUAUACCGAGAAUAGCUUUAUUGACGGGCUGAACGAACCCCUCACUUGGCUAACUCAACAAUCAUAUGUCUGAGAGUCUGGUCUAACUAAGCGGAUUGGAGGCGGGCAUUUUCAUUUCAACGUAGCAGUAGGGAAAGUGAUUUCGGGGGGUUAGUACACAUGGGCAGUUGGGGCAGUUACAGGUAGUUAAGUUCGGUCUUAUUCUUAUGGGCAAGUGGUCCUAGAAUCUCUCUUUCCUUCUCUAAAGUAUAGCUUUACGAAACUAGAAUAUGAGUAAAUAUAGAAAUAGAAUAAUAAAUAAGAAUAUCAUAUAGCCGUGUAUUAGUAAGGAUAGGUUUUGGUGAGUAGUAGUUCUUGGCAUUAGUAAGCUAGCUUCACUAGACUAUCUAUGACAGGAAAUUAGGUAAAUGCACAAUAUCUUUUCAAUGAAGUGAAUGAAGAAAGAUUCAUAGGAAAUGAACAAUAGAAAGAGUACUAUUCUUCAGUUACUCUUUUUUCUUGUCUUAGAAUAGAGAAUGUGUCAAUGGAUUAGCUGACUUUACUAUGUUCCUGUCUUCAAGUAUAAGUGAGUUGGUGUCAACGAAUAGUUGCUUAUUGCACUACUCAGUGAAUGAGAUAUAGCAUAUAUAAUGGAUUUUUCUUUUCCUUUUACUAUACUAACAUUCUUCCUUUAUUCUACUUACUUCUUUCUCGUCUGUGUCAAUGAGAAGUAAGAGUAUUCUCGUACUACGAAGAAUAGGCAAAUCUUUGAUUUGGAAGAGUUUUUUACUCAUAUCUUUGGGACCUUUAAGAGGAAAUGAGUGACUUUCUGCCGGAGAAUAGUAGUCAUCUGUACUCGUCUUUUGUCCUUCCAUACUUACUAAGCAAACUAGGUCACACCUGGACAACUAGGGAACAUAAGCGGGUGAUCUAAUGAUUCAGUGGGGAAAGCUGUUCAUAAGGACCGGUGAGAUGGUACUCCCCUGUGGUAUCCCAAGAACCGUAUUCCCAUGGGCAUUUCCUCCAAAAUAGGCUGUUUUGAGAAAGUAAUCUAUUAGCUGCACAAGUCCAGAGUUGUGUGUACCCCUAGUGAAAGAGUGGAGGAGUUCAGACGCAUAUCGAUACCAAAGUGAGAAGCCUCUUAAUGAUGGAGAACCUGCCUCUGCCAAAUGCCCAAUACAAGCAAGCAGGGGGAGCGGAUUCCCAGAGAGAAUUCCCGUGUUACUCUGAUAUUAGAAAUAGAGGAAACUAGCACUUUAGAAAGAAUGCAGAAAAAUGAUGGAACUAGAACGAAGCUCUACAAAGUUCACAACUCACCAUUGCAACCGUAGGAAUCUCUCCGAGGGUAGUAGGUCGGGGGAGCACCUUCCCUUUGCCUUAUGGGACCCUCGAUCAUACUCUUUUCUGAUAGCCGGAAAGGAAUGACCUAACUUACCACUGAGUAGGCGCCCUUUUUCUUUUCCUUCUAAACUAGCUGCUCUCGCUCUACCAGUUCGUACUGAACUUUCACUUUAAUUUAUAGGCGAUUUGCAUUAUCCGUUGGAUAAAAAUAAAUAUCAUAAUCAAGUAGAUAAUGCGAUGACUGCCUAUCUCUUUCGAGAAGGAGUCCUUUUUCCGAUACUUACUAUUGGGGUAGGCUAAGGUUACAUAGAUUGUCUCCUAUCUCUCCCCUGUCCUCUCGAGCUAAUGACUAAACCGACCCACGACGAGAGGAUCAACCACUGCCAUAGAAAGAGCAGCGACUAACUAAAACCAAGGAAUCCAUCAUCUGGCAUAUUGGCAAUGGGCGAACUGUCCGAGUGUGGCGUGAUCCGUGGAUUCCCAGAGCCAGCACUCUAACCAACUGAGCGAUUUCCCCAACUUUCAAUUGCUAAAAACAGCAGUUCUUUCAUUUCGGUAUAUUUAUAUAUAGCUUUCGCCCUUUAGUUCAAACAAACUUCAUCUCCUGCCCUGCCCUGCGUCGGCUCCUCAAAAUGGCCUAAAGUACCUCGCCGAUAAGCGAGUUCAACCACAUCGUGAACCAAUUGAAGUCGGUCGAGUACCCAUUGGGCGAUGAGUAGAAGGCACACUGCUUUUUUUUCCCUCUAUGCCGGAUAGUUGGUCCACAACCUUACUUAUAUGUUUAUGUGGCAACGCCAAAUUCUCUACUAUACUAUACUAUACUAAGAUGUUUCAGUUCGCUAGGUUGUCUCUUGCCUGCCCGUGCUACAAUUCCUUACUCAAAAGGACUAGAGUGCUAAGCUGCCUUCCCGGCACCACCACUAUAAUGAAUGGCUCAAACAAAUAGGAGAUGAGAGAGCCCUUUUGAUCCUUUCUAUUCUAUAAUAUAAAGAGAAGCUUGUUCAUCUAUCUAGAGAAUGAAAAGGAACUAAUGCCACUGAUAAGAAAUACAUAGACCGUACGCCCACUUACCACUCUACCACUUCAAUUCCAUGACGGACUUCUCCGAUACCUAGCUUGAGAGAGAUCACAGGCAUGUGGUGAACCAUACCGAGAGAAAGAGCACUGAAAUGAACCAUAUCGAGCACAGGUCUCACUCUACAAGUAAAGUUCGAUGAGCUCUUAGCGGAGUUGUGCCUACUAUCUACUAAGUGUGUGCUAGGGAAAGAAAGCAAGCAGAGCAGUUCUCACUCUGUCCGGUGACCAAGAAAGAAAGCUUCAAGAAUACCGUAAACAGAUCAGAGAAACCUCAUACCGAAUCGCCACGUGAAAGCGGGGUUAAGGUAAGGCAGGAAAGACUGACGCCGAAAGAUAUGUUUUGAAGAGAGCUCCAUCGGGUUGAAGCCGAAUUGCAGAGAAUCAAGAUCUUCUACCUUUGUUUGUUCCAUCAAUGCCCUUCGGACUGGCCUAAGAGUUGGGUCCCUGUCUGUAAUUAUGUGGCUAGGUAACCCAUUUAUGGCUUGUGGUCUUUCUGCUUAUGACGUAGCACUAUUCCAUCUUGUAAAUAACGCCUUCUUUAAGGCGCUACUAUUUCUAGCGGCAUAGGUGCUUUAUCACAAUACGAAACAUGUACAUACGAUUCCUAUUUAGAGAUAUUCCUACGACGUAGUAAAGAAAUUAAUAACAAAUACGAAUACGAAUUACGCCUACGAGCCAAGGACGAUAUAUGUAUAUGACUACGCCAAUACUUGACUUGUUUCAAUCAAUUCUCCAGGGCCCCUAGAGAAUUGAUUGAAAUCGUACGUCUAUCGCUAUCCAGUGCCUUUUCAUCGAGGAAGUACAUCCGAUGCUUGGCUCCGACAGCUGAGGCCACCCUUCCCUCUUCUAACUGGUAUGUAUGUGUAUUGGACAAUCCUUUCAUCUUGUUAGCACUUACUUUUCCGUGCUACCCAUCCAUUCAUUAACGUGAAUAUAAGAAUAGGGCCCCGGAUAUCUUUGCCUCGAAGCCGGUGGAAGGUGAAAAGCACAAAACUAAGCCUUAUCCAUCCGCUGGUCUAAAGAAGACCUUUUCGGCCGAUAGAGAGCUUAUUAAUAAAAACAUUAUGCAGGGGCUGAGAAUGCGUUGACAGCUGAAGCAACAAAAGAACUUUUCCAUAGAUAGGCGUACGUACUAUGGAUGAAUUACCACCUCCUUGGAGGAGUGAAUGCAAGGACCACUAAAAAACGGAUACUUUACCGAAAAGCCUUUGCUUCUUCUUUCGAUUGGAUAGAAGCUCAUACUCCACUUCAACAACUGGUUUGGUGCUGAUGUGUCCAAAUCCCAUGCUCCUACGCCGGGUUGAUUGAUGUGUCAAAGACUAAUGCUCCUUCGAAGGUUUUGAUAGGUAAAGCUGUGGCCCAAGAACCCACUACAUCUAAGCCCAAGUCCAAACAAAACUAGACCCAAGAAUGCUGGAAUGAGAAUCCUUACCCGUGCCGUGACGACCAUGCAUACUUUUCUGACCUAUGUAUGCCUUUCCUCGCCUACUUCGUUCUUGCUUUCCAAAGAAACUUAUUUUAUACUUGCUGUGGCUAAUACCCCAUAAAUUCAUUCUGAGCAGAGCUUUCUAGCAGAUUGAUUGAGCUAUGUAAGAGUAAGUACGUGAUGAGAAUCUUGUCAUCAAAGUGAAAGCACAUCUUUGAGAGUUUCAUAUAUUCCAAUAUGAAGUGAAAGGGAGUCAGAGGUUAGCAAAUCCUUAUCAAGGUGUCUUCUUUUGACUAGCCCCAUUCCAGGAGAGUAGGUCUUGCUCGCUAUCUUGAAAGCAGUCCUAUACAACCGUACUCAGAAUUCCACUUGGCAUACCAGUUUCAUAUAAGGACCAGACUCUCCUAUCUAAAGUGGAAAUUGAGAAAGAAGUGUUGUUUCUUUCAAACGUUGCUUCAUUGACUUCUGUCGACAACCUAUUGCUUUUGGAAGAGAAUAUUGGAAGCGUAAGAAUAGAAUAUAGAGCUUUGAGUUUAGGAAUGCUGCAAGAAAAGAAGAAAAUCAAGUAUACGUUUGCUUGUUGGCUUGAGCACUCGUUUCAGAAGAACCUUCUUUUGGGAUAACUCUUUCAGGCAAUAUCUCGCUGUAGCAGUAAUAGCCCAAUGGCUUCUAGUUGUUUUUUUUACCCUUCCGGGCUCUUUUCCCCCGGCGGCUAGUUUCAGCAUAAAAGGAAGAAGUCGGGUCCGCGCGGUUCGCCUUUUCGAAUGCAGCAGUGUUUUUGGCUUUGGCAAUACCAGCUAGCUAGCUACUUACUUGUGUGGGAGUCCUAUAAAGAAAAGCCUGAGUUAUAGACUGACUAAAGAAAUCCACCUAAGCCGUAAGUUUUUGUUACAGCUGGCACACCUGCUUGCAAACUAGAAAAUCUGAUUCUAGUAGAAAGUGGACUAAGUCUUAAGAGAGAUAAGCCGGUCUUUAUACACUGGCCCUACUUCGAAUUCAGUCAGUGGCCAGAUGCAUUGUAAGCAAUUCCAGUCCCAGCUGCUGAGGUGGCGUAGUCAGCCCUACCUAUACCUAAGUAUUGAACAAAACCAACCAUUUAUAUUAUCCUGCAUAUUAAUUAAUACUUUCGUUAGAAAAUAGAAAAACCAACGGAAAAUCAAGUCUCAUGUUGCUCCUCAGAAAACGCGUAUAGUAUAUAGUAUAUAGUAUAUAGUAUAUAGUAUAUAGUAUAUAGUAUAUAGUAGUAGUAGUAUCAUUGGCCAAAGUAAAGUCGAUGGGACAAACGCUGUUCGUUAGAACUAGCAUUUUGUUUUGUCAUGGAAUCAAGUCUAUUUGUUCGAAUGUUCUUUUUUUCGUUUCGUUGGAAAAACCUACGCCCACAUAUUGAUCUUUAAGUCUCCUUUCUCUUUUGGGAGCAGAGCUGAAAAAGAUGGACAGUAACGAUCGCGUAAUAUCAAUUUAUCGGCCUCGUCAUCGAAAGCGGCUUCCAAUUGCUCGGAAAUUCUCAGCUAUAUGGGGGACUUUGAUGGUGAGCAAAAAGAAUUGAUCAAGAAAUUGGUAAACUUUCGCAUGAUCGAUGGUAAAAGAACGAGAGUUCGUGCUAUUGUUUAUAAAACUUUUCACCGCCUAGCUCGAACUGAACGCGAUGUAAUCAAACUUAUGGUUGACGCCGUAGAUAAUAUAAAGCCAAUAUGCGAAGUGGUCAAAGUAGGAGUCGCAGGUACUAUUUAUGAUGUUCCUGGGAUUGUAGCCAGGGAUCGUCAACAAACCUUAGCUAUUCGUUGGAUCCUUGGAGCAGCUUUCAAACGACGUAUAAGCUACAGGAUAAGCUUAGAGAAAUGUUCAUUUGCUGAGAUACUGGAUGCUUACCGAAAGAGGGGAAUUUCACGUAAGAGAAGGGAGAAUCUUCAUGGACUGGCUUCCACCAAUCGGAGUUUCGCGCAUUUCAGAUGGUGGUAAAGUGAUACCACAUAAGGAGCUCUUCCUCAUUCAGUCAUACUCAACAAAAGUCAGAAAUGUUUGACCCUGAUCCUUUUUUCAUCUUCAUAUAGAAAGAAAAUCGGCCUUCCUCAUACUCCCCCCUUCAUUCAUGGAGUUGGAGGAAUCCACAAGAGGCCUGCCCGUUCAUAAUUGCAUAAAAGAACCAUUCUUUUUAUGAAAACAAACAAGCAAGGGAUUGAGCAACUAGCGCUAGGCGCAUCCUCUUGCUGGGAUGGUUUGAGACAAAGAUUUUACUUUGACUUAUACUUUGACUUAUACUUAGGAUUAGGAUCAGCUUGCGAAUUUGCAGCACCGUAUCUAUAUCUAUAUCUAUAUCUAUAUCUAUAUCUAUAUCUAUAGUAGAAUCAAGGGCAAAGAAAGGCAAGUCUCAUUAGCCUUCGUCGAUGGGACAAACGCUGUUCGUUAGAACUAGCAUUUUGUUUUUUCUCGGUAAGAAGGCUGCGUGUUCAACAAUGGGUUCGGCAACUACCAUCUGUAGUGACAAGACCGGUACACUCACUUGAAAUCCGGUAGUAACAUUGUGUUCUUUCACCUCUUAUGAGUCUCGGAGCAAACAACAAAGCAUCAGAUGAGAAAAGGAUCUUCUCAACCUCUUACGAUUUCAAUUGACCAAUGCCAUAGUAUAGUAAAGAUCCGCAGUACAGGUGUAACAGCAAUCAAGCUACUAAGGAUAAGGAUAAGGAUAAGGAUAAGGAAGAAGUGCUCUUUAUUUACAAUAUGGGCUUUCGUAAGCAUAAAUAUCAAAAGAGAGGAUACCACACCAGAUACGGUGCAACAUACUUGAGUGGAAAGAGGAGAGUUUUUCCUCCGAGGGCGAGUUCGAUCAGGCAGACAUCGCAAUGGAUGGUUCCAAUAGGAAUAGUAGUCCAGUGAUUGUCAGUGCAUAUUCAUUAGUAUACGAUACUUAAUACUGUUGCAUAGUCUAGGUUACCGAAUAGGAAUAGCAUAGCAAAGAAUCCUACGCUAAGGAAUGUGUCACCUACUAGGUUCACAGUAAGGGCCGCCCUUAAUAGCAGACUUGUUAGCUUGGAGUCGUGUAUAUCAUAAGUUGAUUAGUAGGUAUGAGCUUACCCCGAUACCUUCUCAACCUAGGAACAUAAUUAGGUAGUUGUCCCCAGCUACGAGCACAAGCAUAAAGAAUGUUAACAUAGAGAGGUCUGAGAAGAAUCGUUGGUUGUGUGUAUCUCCUGCCAUAUCAUAUAGCUUAACGAGAAGAUGUGUACUAGUGCUUAUACAGUUACUACAGCGAGGUCUUCGAUGAGCGGUUAGGCUAUCGAAUAGGAAUCCUCAGUCAACUGUGCCAUUCUGAAUCGAUUCAGCUACCAAGUCGAAUUGAUACAGGUGAUCCUGAUAGACCCACUUCAUAGAAUGCUACGUAAGAUAGGAGAGCUGUUGUACACAUAGCUACACAAGUAAUAAUAUGUGCACCAGUUUUUCUUACCUUACGUCCAAGGAGUCCUGCACCCAUUGCACCUAGCAUAGGGAGAGUCAGAAUAGACCCUAGGGCCCGAAGGACGAUACAUGUUAGCUUAGUUAAAUUUCUCCUUGUAGACGGUAAUAUGCUACAAGAAUACCUAUACCUAUAGCUUAUUCUGCACCUGCAAUAGCGAUGAUGUAGAUACUAGAUGUUUGUCCUACGAUAUCAUCGAAUGAGAAUGAGCUUACAAUCACUAGUACUGUCACAGCUAGCAGCAUGAUUUCAAUUGAGAUCAGCAUGAGGAUGAUCUAUCUACUUUCGGUUGAGGACGAAUCCUAGGAUACCGAGAAGAAAGAGUACGAUAGAGAGUGUCAUGUUAAUGUUUGAUUACCAGAGCAAUGACCACAGGAAGGAAACCGAGUCAACACAUUGCGUAGGGAUAGCAAUACCCAAAUACUCUAACUCUAGGUAGUCUAUGUCUGUAUAGGUAUGGGGAGGGAGAUACCUGAGAGGAUACAUAUAGGGCUAACUAUAUACAACCCUCACCUCGGGCCAUCAGAGAGAUCGUAUGUAUCACCAGCAUCAGGAUAUGUAUUUCGGAAUUACGCGCUGGUGCAGAUUUGUACGUUCAGGUUAUCCAUGACUUCAUUAGUGUCACGGAUUCGCCCGAACUUUUGUCGCAUAGUGCUCUGCCGAUCCAUAAGCUGCACCAGCAUUAGAUAGACUAGAGAAGUGUUGUGCGACUUGCUUCUUUACAUCCACUACAUAGAUAGACUUAGCAUCAGCAGCUAUACCAUGAGUAUGAGCAGAUCGUCGAUAAUCCUUGGCAUCAAAGGUAGCACCUCACAAAGUGGCCAACAAGUCUACCGGACCAUAGACGAGUAGGUUAGGAUCAAGAUCUCGGGCUUCCAUUAGACUAGGAGCUACUUCGAUCUUCAUACCGCGCGCAUGUAGAGGAGUUUUGGCAUCGCAUCGAGAUGCUUCUUAUCUUAAGAGUACUUCGCUAUUGCCGCUCUAUGAAAGCAGGUAUUGGAUCUCUAUUCCGAACGAGGAAAGAAGACUGAACUGGGGUAGUUUAUUCUGAUCCAACAACUGGCUAUUAACAUUGGUUGAUGCUUCAUUCAUACAAAUCUCCUUACGGAGGAUAGUCAAGAGAGUGAGUGGUUUCCCCUUAAGAUAGAAUAGCAGGCCACAUGGUAUAAUCCCUUCCCUUAUAGGACAAGGGAUUAGAAGGUUGACAAAUGAAGCCAAACGUAGUGAUACUCUAGCACGGAGAACCAAGAAGGGUGCUUCUGCUACAACCAAAACCCUCUAUCUCAUGCCUACUUGAUCUCAUAACACUUAUAGUAAGAAUGAAUCCCCUGAUUAUAGAUUAAAAGGGAUAUUGGCGUGUAAUACUUUGAUUUCUUAUAUUUAACAAGAAUCCUUGAUUUAUUUAAUAAAUCGCUCUUGCUUGCGCAAGGGAUAUGCUGAUUCUUAGCAUAGCUUUUUUACCGAAUACAAGGAUUCCUUGGCACCUGAUACUGCUGAAGAGAAUGAUUUAGUGGAGGAGACUGGAGGUACUACGAAGAGUGUGAGGAGGGACCUAAGCACAUUCGUGAUUCUUAGUCUCUUGAGAUCCGUGAGCGAGACCGAAGCUGGAGAAGGAAAGGAGGCAGCAAGACCUAUUUCUCCGAUAGAUGAUCUAUAGCUUCAUAGAGAGAGAGAAAGGAAGCUCUCCUUCACUACGUUCCACCAGCUUAAGUAAGACAUCGAUACCCAGCAUACCAUUAUGACUAGUUAGGGCGAUCCCGCGCGGGAAGGCUAUAUCUGACCUUUGACUUUGCUGUUUCCACCUCUGCUUGCUCUGAUGCGGGCAAGUAGGAAGAAAGCAUAUCAAGGGCUUUCCAAGAUGCUUUACAAUACAUUACAACAUGUGAUAAAGAUAAAGAUAAAGUAGUGAAAAACUUUUCACUCUAGAAGUAAGAAAUAUAUCUUCAGAAAGGCAAACGGGAUUUAUUCCGUAGCGUGCAUCCCCAUAAGGGCUGAUUCGCUUUCCAGACUAGAGACCCUGUGCCCUUUCUUCGAGCUUUCACUCAUAGAUUCGCACUGCUUUUGUUGAAAAAAAAACGGCCAAAGCAUAGUGAUCCACCGCUUAUUCGAGUUAGUACAGGAAAAAGAGCCAGAUAAAAUUACUAUUUUUCGUAAACAUGGUUUUUCUAUUUAGUCGGUUCGAGCACGCUCAUUAAACUAAAGAGUUCAUUUCCCUAUUUCCUCAUUCAAUCACCAAAACGAAAGUAGUACUUUUCUUUUGGAAGAAAAAGUUUUGAAAGACACUUUCUUCUUUACAACGAUAGCUCGCCUUACUGCUCUUAAAUCCCUACUAGCCAUCUCUUCCCUCCCUCGCCCAGGCAGGGCUGGUGACAUCUAAGGAGGAUGGAGCACCUUCCAUUGAAGAAUAGGCAUGGAAGGAAUGCCCUAUUUAUCUCUUUGAUAGAAGAAGCAGCUUACUUUCCACACCUUGCCUACUUGACAACGCUUUUAUAUGGAGUGGCUUCAACCCAUCACGCAUGAAAGUGCCAAAGGAUUUUCUUUACGACAACUCAGAGUCGAAUUGGUCCUUUGCAAGUGGACGCCAGCCGUAGAGCCCUAGUUCUAGCCUACUAUGUAGAGUAGAGUAGACUCUUACUUGAAAAAAGAUAAGUUAAGAAAUCAAUUCUUAUUCGCUUUUCACUUUCACUACUGGUCAAAGCUCGUCCUUAGAGACUACUGCCUUACUUUCAAGAACUCACUAGGGCUAGCUUAUUAGGGAUAGGUUAUUCAGCUUGCUGACAAGGUUAGUGCUUACCAGGCUAUAUUCUAUCAAUAAAAUUGCUUAGGGAUAAAAGAGAUUGUCUUAUCCUACUUAGGUAUUAGGGUUUAGAUGACCUCCUCAUCCUCUUGAGUAUGAUGCAAUUACAUCGGCCCUCAUGUAUUAUUGCAUCAAUACCCCAUCAUAGGCAAGUUUACACACUGGGACAACAUAGGGUGGGCCCCACCAGAGAGUAGCCAACAGAACCAAGAACAAGAUCUAGCAGAUGGUGGGAGAUUCUCGCUCGUGAUGAAACUAUCAUCUCCUACGAGAAUAUGCACUACAUCGGCAUCAAUCAACCUGGCUUCGCGUUCUAUUCUUACGAUAGGGGGGCUCAAUCUCGUCAGUCUCCUGGAUUCCAGUCAUGUCUCUACCAUCGGUUUCUCCCUUUUCUCCGGCUGGCGUAAUAAGGAGGGAGUCAGAGACUACCAACUCGACAAUGUUGGCUCGAUCAUGUUUAUAUUGGCAGGAGGAAGUACAGCAUGCUUCUUAAGCUUAUUUUCCAAGGCGCGGCUGAGAGUUAUGCCGAACGGAGUGAAAGUCCUGAGUGUCUUUGGUUUUCCGUCAGACAAGAUAUUCACUUCACUGUUCUUGCUUGUUCCCCCCAGGGCUAUCUUCUUUCCUUUUGGAUCUGCCUCUUUGACCUGUGAUCCAUGAGUCCCAUCCCAUUGUAGAUAGCAUCUUCAAUACGAGUGGCUGCUUCAAUCAAAGAGCGUGGUCAUCGCUUGGAAAUAGAAAUAGUCAUGGUAUUGCCUACUCAUGUUAUUCAUCAUUAUCCGAACUUGUUCCUUUUCUGGGGAGAGAUCAAUCACUUGGGCUGCUUUGGCCUUCCAACGGGCCAGGAAAUUGGUCACAAUCAUAAAAGACCUGAACCGGAGGUGCUUGAGGUGCAGUAGAAGGAACAGACUUUGAUUGAUGAGAGAUUUUGGAUAAGAGUUCAUAAAAGGCGCUAGCCUGUUUCAUGGUCAGGAAGGGAAAGGAAAGAGCUGGGUUUCUAACAAAAAAGGAAACGUUUCCGUAGGAAAAAUCUAUCACAUGGAAACUCGAGUAAAUAGAAGUUUUUUUCAAUCCUUGGUUGCAAUGGUUCAAUCGAGAGAAGAGCAAGUCAAUUUCAUAAAUUGGAACAACCACAUCAGCUUCAUUCUUUUCGCAUAGGGGUAGUUUUGUCAACUCGCCUGAAGACCACUGGAAUCGUAACCAAUACCCCUGGCCACACAAUUCAAACCUACCAAACUCUAGUACUUACAUCCCUAACCAUUAUCCACCUUCUCUCAUUCUCUCUCUGCGAAUGAGCUAAUGCUUUUUUUUUCGAUCCCUGCCACACCCGGCAUCGUGUUACCAUUUGAUGACUUCUUAGGGGGACAGUUUAAGUAAGAGUAGGGAUAGUUGAAAGAGUAGUUAGAUGAGUCCUGACUCCUGCGUAUUUGUACGAGAUACCUUAGAGCUUCAAAGUGACAAAGUCCGGUGUGAGGUUAAUUGAACAUAUUGAAAUAUGGGUCCCCACACAAAUAAAGUAAGAAACCAGAUUUUCCUUAAGGAAUUGGCUCUGAGGCCCGGCAACUCGAACUUUCCUAAGCAGGAAGGAAGGAAAGAUAAAAUCAAGAUCUUUCUUUAUUAUUGCAUCCCUCUAUCCCUUACGAUCUGAUCUAUGUUCUGUACCAGUGUGAAUACAUACUCUUUAGGCUGGUUUCUUUACCGAUUCAGUGUCCCUGCUUGACUUGCUUGGAUUGCGUACAAAGCUUCCCCAUAUUUCUUAUAGGGAUGAUGACCACUGACAUUUGACAUUGUCUUCAUUCGUUUACUGCUGGCCUGAAUAUUCCAUAAUUGGAUGGAUGCCCGAGCAUAUGCUCUUGUAGGUGCCGUAGCCCAUUCUCUCCAAAGAAAGGAAGCAGGAAGCGAUCCAUACGUUUUGUCUGGUUGGAAGAAGAAAGAAGCAGCGAAAUUACGGUGCCUAAAGAAUGGGGGUUGAAGUGAGGACAUGACAGAGUGUGCGGAAAGCAGGCUUGACCUAACUAAAGUUACGGCGGAGCACUGGGCUGUAGAUUUUCAAGUGGGAAUAGGAAUAAGCGCCUCAGAGUGUUAAUUUUCCGAUGAGUAGGGAGACUUACUCACUCUUGAAAAAGCUUGAAUCAUCCGAGAAUCCUAGUUUAUUUUUUUUUUAUGGAACACCCGCUUGCUAACUGACUUUUGUCAAGCCCGUCUCCACGAGAUCUAUUUUCAUCCGAGGGAGGGGCAACGUCCCAAAGCUGGACUUCCCGCUGGAAGCUCCCUAUUCUGAGUGGUUGAUAAGCCUGCUCAUACGAGAAGAGCCCUAGUUUUUUCGGAACCACACAAUUGAGAGUGGCCCGAUGCACCGGAGCCGUGUGACCAGCCACGAACAAUCGAUGCGUCUGCCAAACUACUUCAAAAAGGAAAACACGAGCUAAACCAGUAAGUAGUUGCUUUGCUUUGGACUGUGAUUUCGUAAGCGAAUUGCUUUAACACUCCUCUUUCAAUCAGCAGACCAAAAAAUAAAACUCGUUAUUCCACGCACGUUAUUAGUAGUUAGUAUUAGUAAAGGAAAGACAAAAAAAUAGCAAUCGAGUAGUUCAAACGAGUAUAGAUUUCUACAGGUAGACAUCAGGUUAGGUUAGUAGAACAGAUAGACAACGAACAAGUAAGGGGGCAAUGCUUACUCCCACUUAAACUUCUCCAACAAUGCCGAGGGGUUGAUACCUUCUACCCUUUCAAUUCUAUUACCAAUAGACAGCCCUUACGUUUAUUUUGCGCGGAUUGGGGAAACACCUACCUUAAGCUACGCAAUUUCACUCUUUAGGGUAGGGAUUCUGGAGACGAAGCAUAAUCUAGAGACGAAGCAGACACCACAAAACCAUCUUCAGGUUCGAACCCAACUACGGAAAGUAGAAAUCUCCAUUCCUACACUAAUUCGGCUCUUUUCUUGUCUCCGGACCUGUGAAAAACCACACUCGUACCAACACCCACGGAGAACGUUGCACCUCUUAAGAUAUUACCCAAAACCAGGCAUAUUCUCAUAUGCUUCACAACAACUAACGUUUAUAACCAACAACAACUACUACCAACGAGAAACGUUACCUUACAACGUUUAUAAACUAGGAAUCAAAACACAAUUCCAUAAUAAUACAACUACCUACGGCAGCUUCGUUUUGCACACAGAGGAGGAUGAUCGUUAUUUAAGAUUAUAUGUGAAUUGCUAAUAUUAAAUAGGAUUCCAUUCUCUUAAAGUUCUCUUUGUCUUCGAGCUUUUAUUCCUCAAUCCACUUAUUCGUUCCCUUCUUUCAUAUACCUCCCCACCAAUAAAUAGAGACAAAUGGGAAUAACCGAACCACGUCUACAAAAUGCCAGUACCAUGCAGCUGCUUCAAAGCCAACGUGAUGCUUCUUGGUCAGAUGACCAAGAUAUUGGCGAAUACCACAUACGAUCAAGAAAAGAGUACCUAUAAUCACAUGAAAACCAUGAAAGCCAGUUGCUAAGAAAAAGGUAGAACCAUAAAUACUAUCCGAAAUAGUGGAGGGUGCUUGGUAAUAUUCCAUUCCUUGAAAGCCAGUGGAUACUAGAGCCAGUAAAACGGUUGCUACUAAAGCGUAAACUGCUCGUUUUUCCUUCCCCGCGAGUAUAGCAUGAUGAGCCCAAGUUACGGCAGCUCCGGAUGAAGGGAGAAUAGGGGUAUUAAGAAGAGGGAUUUCCCAAGGAUCUAAAACCCCAAUCCCUUUUGGGGGCCAAAUACCUCCGAUCUCUACCGUAGGUGCCAAAGAAGAAUGAGAAGAAGCCCAAAAAAAAGCAAAAAGGAACAUAACCUCCGAGACUAUGAAGAGAAUAGAACCAUAUCGAGGUCCUAAUUGUACAGCUUUUGUAUGAUGCCCUUCCAACGUGGAUUCACGUAGAACAUCCCGCCACCAUACGAACAUGGUAUAAAGGAGAAAUAUUAGGCCCAAACUGAGAAGUGUUGCACCCCCUUGAAAUGAGUGCAUGUACAUCACACCUCCUACGGUGGUUGCCAAAGCUCCGAGUGAACCCGAAAUAGGCCAUGGACUUGGAUCUACCAAAUGAUAAGAAUGCCUCUGAGAUUCAAUCAUAAACCACUUUGCCCCGGUUGUAUGUAAACCCCCCUUCACCCCCAUCCCCUAAAGUGGUAAAGAAGGAGGCUCUUCUUUGUCUCAUUAGGACAAACAAAUAGGAAGGGAUAGUUCUUUCAUUGCAUUGAUAGAAGUGAUACUAUCAAAAGAUCUCUCUAUUAUUUUAGAGAAGAGUCGGCGUUGGUUCUACCAACGAAACGAAGAAGUUUUGGAUUGGUCUUUAUCAUGUCAUGGGAUAACCCCCCCGAAAGAAGAGUGCAAAGACCAAGUUCCCAUUUCCUCCGUUCAUCCACGAGAAUCGAUAUUCGUUCUUUCCACUUUGAAUACGUCAAUUCUCAUCCGUUACUUGAGAUUCGAUACGUAAGAUACGUCAUUUCUCAUCUGUAACUUCCAUCCGAUAAGGGCAAUAAAGCCAAGGCAAGCUCAUAUUUGCGUAUCUAAAGGCUUGGUGUGGAGUUUUGGGGAGGUUUCGGGAGAUGAAAAAAGCCUACUUUUACAGCUAAGUGAUUAGGACUUGACCGAAAAAUAUUGCUCUCAAAACAUGCAUUUAUGAGGUAAACUAGAAAAACACUACUUUUGACCCAGUGAUCCGCACUUUUUUCAUUGGAAAUCGAGUUUCCUUAGGGAAAAAGGACUUGCUAACUUUUGCAGCUAUAUGAAACGGACUUGCCUACUUUUGCACCGAAGAAACUCAAAAAUAGUCUUUCUCAAAACAAAAGCAAGGUAGGAUUUCUACGAAACAAGCCCGGAUAGGUAACUAGGCGGAUAGGAAGGAUUUCUACGAGCUUCAGUUCAUGAAUUGAAAUAUGCAUGCAUCCCAUUCAUAAGGAGUAGCUGGCUAUCCGUGUGCAACACUCAUUUCUUUCUAGGAAGAUAAGAUCCCGCUCUAAGGCAUUGGAGCUGCUGGAAUAUGAUACGAAAAUACAGAUUGAUGUUUCUGCUUCUCCUCUCUCGGGAAUAGUUUACCGACCGGGCCACCUGUAAAUUCUUUAGUUAAAACAGGCCUCGGGAGUAGUCAUCCUAGUAUCGAAAAUCAUCUUUUUUUCUUUCCGCGUUGAUUCUCCGAUUAUACGAUGGCAACAUGUGUGAAGUCUAGUACCAGAUCAUAUCGGGGAUAGCUAGCUCAUCAGCAGUUCAUUUCUAUGUAUGGCGAGAAGUCCAACUGUCAAGCAUGGCACGAUUCCAGAAUCAUCGCUUGGCUGCUGCUUAGAUGAGAUGAAACCUGAGCUGACUUCUCUGUUGGCCAGGCCUGCUUCUUAAGUGAACUCAUCCAUUCCCUUGAUUGAUUAGUACAGAAGGAGGCGAUAUCGUGUCAAUUCCCUAAAGAAAACCGUCUUUUCCAAUGAUUUAGGGCCCAUACCCCAAUAAUGAUGACGAAGAGGUCUUCCUGCUUCACUUCAAAAACAGGGCUUCCUGACCCGAGAAAAGAGUGCACAUGGAAGUAGUUCCGCUCAAUUCUCCAAUACGACUUCGGGUGUGACCCCAACCCCACCAAAUGGUGAUCCUCGAGACCAAAGGGCAUUGAACGAGAGAGAAGGAAAUCGUCCACAGAGAAUCGGAGUAUCCGGCCUAGUGAUAGUUAGAAAGAGUUGGCCAAUACAGAAUCUCAUGCGCCUCUCAUUGAUGAACCCCUUUUUCCUUUAUCCUCUACUGGUGGCUGAUUGAUUGAGCGCCGGUCUCACUCAUUCUUUAUGAGCGGAAGCCAUGCACCUAUCACCUAUAACCGGAGAAGUACUAUAGCGCACCUGGGGAAGUACUAUACGGCACGGCACCUUCGGCGAGGACUCAACUCAACAGAGAAUGAUUUGACAAACAUUGAUCCGCCAGCUCAACUCUGAAAAAGAAAAGAGGAGAAUCUCUCUAGCUUGUGGAAUCACUUCCCUGGAUGCUUAGAUAGCUCGAGAAAGUGCGCCACUUCUCCCUGAGAAUCUAAUCUAUGGUAUAAAAACAGAUAAAUAGGCUCAUUAAGUGAAGUGAGAACAGAACUCGAUCUUUGCUAGGCGUGAGAAGAAGAUAUCGGUCCUUUGGCCAUCGGGAGCAGUGGUAAAGAAAUCCUUUGAAUGGAUCAGUGAGUUCCGGCACGAUUGCUGGAACGAACGGAAUCUACGGGAACGAGAUCUUUCUGUUGGCACGAUAUCUUUCAGGAACUGCGCUAAGGACGAAUGCUUGAUUUGCAAUCUUUCAAGACGAUUUUCUUGUAGCAGAUGUGGAAUCCAGAUUGGCAUAACGGGUUCUACGUGAAGUCAGCCGUUCGUCAUCAUUUGAGGGUUCGGGUCGGGAUCAUGGCCAUAAAUCGCUACUUUUUCCACUAGAGCGAAUAGCAUUCUUCGAAACAGGCACGCACAGGACUUGAAGCAGAAUCAGAGAGUGAUCCCUUUCCAACAGACUGAUCGAAUUCCAGUGAUACACUACGCCUGGCACUAUUCGUCACAUUAGUAGUUAAGUUACUCAUUUGUUACGAACAAAGAGACGCUAGAGAUUCUAUGAACUUCAGAUCGAUGCCAUUCACUAAUCUCAAUCGUCUUUCUAUGGAUUUCUGGGCCGAUGGGCGAUAAACCUUCAAAGUCGCUGCUACGGGCUCUGUGGUGCGUCUCAGAGCCCUUCCCCGUGGGGGGUUCCCGUUCUGCUAAUCUUGCUAUCUUCCCCAGGUUUGCUCGUUUCGAUUGGAACAAGAAGUCCGUAUUGGUAUUUCUUGGUAUUGGUAGCAGAUGUGAAUGAAUUGCAAUUUCCGAGGAGUAGUAAGGACGAGUAGUAGCUGUGGAUGCCAGUGUGGAAGAUCAUAUUCUCACAAGUGAAUACGGACUUCCGUUCCGGAUUGGGAGAUCUGCCCUGGCUAAAGACAUCGAACUGUGGAUCAGUCGUGAAUCAAAUCGAAAUCAGAAAUAGAGGAAUAGAGUCAUCCUCACCACAACAAAGCUAUGGGUCGGCUUCAAGCCAAUAAGUAGGAAACCAUGCAGGUACGAGAAAAAACAAACCCAUUACUUGAUUCAGACACUUGAGGAAGGUGUCAACGGACGGCACAGCUCCUCAGAGGCAACCCAUCAAAUGGAUCUUUAGCGGCUCUAGUCUAGCCAAGGGAACGGGUAUCACGUAUUUCCUUGAAGGCAGCCUAUAACCAAGCGGAGAUGCUUCUGCCUUUUGGGGAGGCCUGUUUGUUGUACAAGAGGAGAAGGUUCGUAUCUCCUUUCCGAAAAGAUGCAUCUAUUUUCCUAUCUUUGGCCAAGGUAACCCGUAUUGGACAAGCUUGCCUUUUGUGGGAGCAUCGUUUCGAAAACUAGUCUAAUUGAUUUCUUUUUAUUUAGGAGAUGCUUUUCCGUUACUUGACUUUCACUAGUGUGAUGCCGAUCUCUUACUCGAAUGCUUCUGCCACUUUAGGAAGGGAUAGAGGAAACAAACUGGGAAUAGGAAUUGAUAGCGGUAGCUGUAGAUAGGAGAUAGGAGUGCGGACCAACACAAAUACUCGAAUAAACUGAGCCCUGGCGAUAAGAAAGUAUUUCACAAGUUCCGAAGUGCCGUUCAAUUCAAUUCAAGGAAGACGCAUCCCUGAAAGAAGGUCGUAGGGAGAGAGGGUUCUCGAUACCGGGCAUGGAAAAGGCAGAGAAGGUUCUCGAUACCGGGCAUGGAAAAUAAGUUCCUUUGGGCUUUUGAGUCGGAGGAGACUGGCCACCUUUCCUACGCAAAUCUUCAGCGCAAAUGCAAAUAUGACUUGAGAUUGGAAAUAGCAAUUCCAGGCAUCCAUGCUUCUUUAGGCCCAGACCCUAUAAACCAACUUUAGGAAAUCUUAUGAAAUACGCCGGUCUUAGUCUUAAGCAGCCUAGCACUAUCGAUCAAAGCGACAACCCUCUAAAUAAACUUCCAUUUUCUUGAACACGGGUAAAUGCCAUUCUAUCUCAACUAUGGCGCAUUUGACCGAGGUUUUCGUCUCAAGUCCACUCCUGAAGCCCUGCCGAUUGAAGCAGAAAGGCUCUUCUUAUUCUUUUUAGGGUAUGGUAUCGGACUCGAAACCUUCAAAGUCGCUGCUACGUGCUCUGUGGUGCGUCUCAGAGCCCUAUUCCAUGUGGGGGUUGGAAGACAUUUAUUUGAUCCCAGAGGGAGGAAUAAUUAGACCUCCCUCUGGGUUGAGGAUACGUAGCAGUGGAAGAUGCCGGUACAUUAUACGUCUACUCACUUCCUAAGCAAAAAUCACGGCAAAACUUUCUUUCUUUUCGAAAACUGGAUUCGGGUUUCCAGAGGUAGGGCAAAAAUACGGGGUUUCUUCCCUCGAUCAAUCAUCCGGCACCUUGACUCGUAGUGCCGCACUGGCACUGAUCUAGACUAGAGUUCGACACCCGUGCUUGUGAGCGAGGUUUUCACUUCUCACUCGUAUUGAUUGAUGCCGUGGACUUGCCAGAGAGGAAUAUAGGAAGGAGUGUCAGCGCUAUUCAAUACUUUUUGGUGUCGACGGAACUCAAGCAAGGAGUUCCCAUCAAAAAGGUGAGAACGAACUCACUCGAUCUUUGCUAGAGGUAUUGGCCAACGGUGCGGCUUCUGAACCAGACUAGAGAAAUGCUUGACUGCCCGAUAUGAGAUCCGCUAUACUUAAGAACUGUGGCACUUGUUAGGUCUGGGCCAGGUACGAGCACUUAGAGGUUUGAGCAAGCAUUCAUGCAGAACGUAAUCUGAACGUAAGUUUUCGAUUAGUGAAUGAUGUGAACCAGUGGAAUCUCGUACUAGAUAGAGACUGCCAUCCAUCCGGACUAGAGGGCUAUCUACAUUUCUGUGCUCGUAUCACCUUUCAAAGACAGGUUUCAAUGGGGGUCAAAUCUUUCUUCCCUCGGAGCUUUGAAGCUGUUUGGUUCGCCAUUAGAGCAGCACCUUUCUCCGCUAAAGCCCAUGCUUGGAAUAAUAGGGUUCAGUGAUCCCCGGUCUCUGGGGAGUCAGUCUCGUAUCCAGUCCAGAACAGCUCGUUUAGUCAGCAGGCUUAUGCGCUAGUCGCCAUCUCCAGAUCCGGCUAAAGAGUUCGUUUACCCACACUGGCAUCAACUUAAACUACUUCUCUCUUUUAUGUGGAUUGCUAUCCUACGACGAGCUGUGCUUACUCCCCCUAAGUGGCAUACUUGCGCCUGUGCUUGAAAUCAAAAAUAUAUUGCCUUUCCACAACGGAUCACAUUCCUCUAGCCAUGACUGAGAUCUAUCUUCUACCAGGACACGGAUACGAGUAUAGUGCCAAAGAGUAAUGCCGCGAAGAGGUCAACCUUUGCUUCCGAAAGCCACUGUUUUAUGUUUAUGUUCCUGAGGUCCCUCCUCUCCAGGGGUUCAACAGAAGGAGUUUAGGCCGGUGUCCGCCCUCAAGAGUGCCAAUCCUGAGAUCUUAGAGUUGUAGACCGAGUCGAGGGCUGCUUCUCAAUCAAGCGAUCGGCAACAGCCACGAGAGGAGAGUGCACUAUUCAUUCUAAGUGUGGGAUGGGAUCAGCUUCUAAGCUUUUAAAGCCCCCCCAUCUGCCCAAAUCUUAUUAAUCUCAAGCGGACCUGGUGGUUGGAAAUACUAUUAGAGGCAUAACCUACGUACGUGUAUCAUUAGGUGCCGGGUGGGUAAGUUCUUUCAGCUGCAAUAUGGGGCUUCUUCUUUGUUGGAAAAGCUUUGAUAGAAACGGCAGGCUUCUACCAAUGGAAAAUAGGUCGAGACCACGAACACUAGACACUAGGAGAUUGCUUUCGCCGUCGGCAUAUGCGGAAGUAUUCGUUCUUUGAAAUAUUCGAUCCACAAGCAAGCUCUAGUCAAGUGUAUUCGAAGAUACAAAGCAUAGCUAGGAACAAUGCAAGAUUACACAGACUGUACCCAUGAUAGUAGUGGUGGCUAAUGGAAAUUGAAUUUCCACUUUUUCACAUAAAUCACUACAAGGCCUGAAGAGGAAGUAAAAGUCCCCAAUGGGUGAGAUGAUGUGUGGCUCAGCCUCUACUCAGAUUGAACGUUCUGAAAAGAGCAGUUCUUGAGGGGAUCUUGUACCAAUGGUGAAGAUUGAGGCAAUGGAACGCCUAAACCAAAGAAAGAAAAUAAAGCAAUUAAGGCAUUUGAUACUAAUGGAUAUAGCCCUAGCCUUCAGAAAAGGAAAUCCAAUAGUGCGUCCGUGUCCAAUUCGAAGUAAGACCCCAUUCCCAUUCCAGUUACUUCAUAAUGUGCCAUACCUGAUUAUGGCCACGAUUCCAAUUUUACAUAAAACCAAACCAAGGUCUGGCGAAUCCUCUUCCCAACUGGCCUGGAAUGAGAUCCAGAAAAGGACCUGGCAAGAGAUACGUCUGUCUUGUUGUGAUGCGAGGAAUAGGCGAAUCUGUCGUGAUAGAAAACAACCCUUUGUUGCUAUGCUAAUGGAUCUGCUCAGGGAACUGGCCAGGGUUCAGUUGAAGACAGGAAUGGAAAUGUUUCCCAACUAGAGCUACGGCACUUUUCCAAUAAACGGAAGCUCAAGCCAAGCCUAAAGCGAAGCAUCCGCCUCCUCUUUACUAGCGAGUCUAGUUUCCUACAGGGCAAGGGCGUAGACUGGUUUCGAGUCCUAUAGGAGGAUCAAAGUAUUAGAGCUCAAGUAGUUCUCUUACGACCUAGUCAAUACGCAUUGGAAUCAUGGCAUCCCCUCCACCGUAGUAAAGUAAGAAGUAACGGGUCUACGCCCAGCUUCCUUGUUCCGGAAAUGAAGGAUCCAUGCAGAAGUGGACUCUCUUUCCGUUCUGUUCAAAGAGUUGGCCUGGUAUUCUAGUUACUCUAGACCUAUUCCCUUCGAAAUAGAAACUCUUGCCAGAGCUGAGUAGAAAUCAUCAUUACCGCCGCAUUUACUAUACUAGACUAGCGCCUAAGAUAGCUAUAAACAUGGUAUGUCUUAGAGCGAUAUGAGUAUUCUUUACCAGCACCACCCAGGGAUCCAACCACAAUCAGAAAUGGAUACGUUAUAGUUUCCAUCCUUGACUUUACUAGUCCUAUAACCGGCAUCCAAGCAAAUAGACUUGUCUUUCUCUUUCUCUUUUUCCCUAGUCCCUAGUAAUAGGAGAUCCUUCCUGUUCUGGAUAUGUCCUCUAUUCCAUCCGGUUUGGACACAGAUUGUCAACGGUGAGGUGACAUGACCUUGAUCAAUAGAUCCCUUACUCUGGUCCCUAGUUCCUUACCUAUUUGAUAGGGAAGCGUUUCGAUAUCACCUACCAUGAACUCAGAUGGUGUUUGCUGACGAAAGAAAAAGGCUGGUUUUGGCCCAUAGUGAGCAGCACUGGCACUCAAAAGGGAUCCUUCCGCCUGCCGGGAAUAAGUACCGGCACCCUUACAGGAAUCAAAUCUCUUGGAACGAGAUCAAGGGCCGAAGGAAGUCAACUGCGAAUCGGUUCGGUAGUGAAGAAAAUAUCUCUUGUCUGCUCUUCAUCUUCAGCAACGCGUGAUGCGAUAGUGCCAGAGAAUAUCUUCUCUUCUCUUGUUGGUAGGAAAGCAGUGGUGAAUGAAAAGCGGUUCUGUUCCCUUCCGGGUGAAUGGAUGGGAAAUGGAAAUAGACUAACACUCACACAAAAGAGACAAGGAACCAGAAAUGCUUACUACUGACCAGCUCCUAUUCCUAUGCCAAAGAGGGAUUCGAGUUUCAGGGGUAGAGGGAAGCUUUAGGAAAGGAUAGAUGCACACACAAUCUGAUAAGCCUGCCGACUAAUCUCCCUAACAACCGGCGCUGGAUACCUGAGACCCAGCUGGCACUUCUCUUGAUCCAAGCGUUGGUCUAGUUUCCAUCGGAAAGUUAUAUGUUCUUGUUAGGCGGUAGCAAGCAGUAUCAAAUUUCUGUCGGUUCAGUUCAGAGAAAUAGGUCUAAAUAAACCGGGCUUGUCCCGUAGAUUGUACUAUCCCCCUUGCCCAACAGGAACUGGAACUGGAGCUCUUGCCUUCUAUUUCAAUUAGUUGCUUGAUGGAAAGCAAUAGGCAAUCGGCUAGAUUGCACAUCCAACCUGUUCACUGAUUUAUGCUGCAGGCACUUCAGAAACCUGAGCUGGGUUAGGUAGCGGUUCCACUUCUCAAGUUUGGAGCCUCUAAAGAAUUCUCCGCCUCAGGAUCUGGGUCAUAGAAUUUGAGCCAUUGGACCUUCCUCUUUUCUUUCGAAAGGACCUUUUCUCUAGGACCGAACAAGAAGAUCCAUACUGUCUACUUUUGAACUAUGUAGCUAUUGAGAAAUCUAGUGCGGAGCCAAUAUCGUGUUCAUGGUGGCCGGCGCUUCCGAAAGACAUCACGUCCUUCUCUUUAGUUUUAAGCAAUGUGGUCUUCCCUGGUUGAGUGAGUGAGCCCGGUACCUACAGCCUGAUCUAAGCAGUAUUCCGAGGGGAUAGAAACGGAAAGCAAGACGAAAUCCUGUGUUGAAAAAGAACCUUGCAAGGAAGGAAUGAAGCUAUGGAUAUAUUUGAGUAAAAAGAGGAAAUUGAAGCCCAAUCACAGUGGUGAGCAGAGCCCUCGUCCCCGAUAUCGAUAUUUAUUUUCCUUCGCAAUCCAUUCCUUAGAACCACUUAAUCGGAUUUUGAAACAGGCAGCUAAAGAGAGUCCCAUGGGCAUGCAUGGGGGGAGAGUCAUUCCUAGCGGUAGGUGGGUCGUUUCCUGCGUCUUAUCAUGGCAAGGACACUUUUUACAGGUCCAUCAAAUAGAAAUCCUUCUCUUCUGGGAAACCUAAAUUCUAAACCAAAGUGGUGAACUGGUUGGCACUCUGCACUCUUCUACUUCAGUUUCUACCCCUGUCCUGUGGUAUAGGCAAAUGCACUUUACUAGUUAUGCGGCCCGCCCUAGAUUACCAAGUUCCUCUUGGAGGAGGAGGUACCAGUGCCAGUUUCUAGAAUCGUAUAAGGAUCUGCUUCUCUUCUGCUUCUGCCGCUCGCUCUCGCUAUAGUAGGUAACCUCCCCUCCGGUCGAUAAACAAGAGAAGUAUGUGGCAGCUCGGUGUUUGUGAUUGAACUGAUAUUUAUGUUAUUCCUCGCAUCGCAACAGGACGGAUCUUUAGAUUGUACAGUAGGAACGGAAGGCCCCGCACUCUCUUUCCUUGGUUCUUACUUCCGUUCGUGGUAGGACCUCCAUCCUUCCACUCACUCAUACUGUCCGUCUCAUACUCAUAGUACCUAUAUUCCUAUCUUAUCCUAUCUUUCUUUUUUAACCGGACAAAGAAAAGGGAGAUUGUUCUACGAUUUUCCUCAGUGCGGAAAAGGUGCAAAUAUGUCUCGUUUUUCUGUCUUUUUUCAUCGUUUUUGAUGGUUUUUCUUGUUUGUUUUUCAGAGGGAAAAUAAGCCCUUACUUAGAUGGGGUGAAAUGAAAGAAAAUGAAACGAGUUGACUGCACAGUAGAAUAUGGGGAGUCGUCUAGUGAAGUUUGAAGGAAAGCCCUCUGGGGGUUAGGCCAAUCCAAGAACUGCUUGCUUCCCCCAUUUCUACUGCAAAUAGCCAAUGCCAUCAACAACAACUCUGCGUUUCCCAGAACGAUAAUACGACCGAGAAAAGGAAGGAGUAGCAUUCCUAGAACGAUUCGCUUUACUCUUGACGGAAGUCCCUUCCUCUAAUUGGGUAGCUUGACUCUUAUCUUAGAAUGAAUAGCCUGCUGCACUAGAACGAUAAUACGCCUUUCCUAGAACGAGAAUACGACUGAUCUCCUAUUCCUCGCUAGAGAAGAGAUUCUUUGACAACUGCUCCUAUUCCACGCUAAAAAAGGCCGGGUAUCUUCUGGCGCACUACCCCAAAGGACAGUUCCGAUCUCCCAAUCCGGAAGUCCGUAUUCACUUGUUCGAAACGAAAGACUGUUCUCACAACUGAGUGAGCAUAUUUCCAAGGCAUUCCAGAGUAGGUGCUUUCUGGGCUUAACUUAAAGGGCCUAUUCCCUCCGCUUCUCGAAAUUACAUACUUAAAUAUCAAGAUCAAGUCAUCUGAGUUCCGUUUCGCAAGUAGUAUUCGAUUCUAUUAGCACGCUCCUCUUGCGUCUGCAGAUCCCAAAAUACGGAUUCUUACGGCAGCAGCAACUGAUCCAUGUUUCCCUUCGCCGGAAAGAAAAGAUAAGUUCAGCUAACAAGCAAGUGCCACUAGGGAAUCAGACUUUUGCAAUCAAUCAACGGCAGCACUCUGUUCGUAGUGUAACUCGAGUUAACGAACUGAUUCGAAUAGUGCCGGUUCCCAUGUUCAAGAAAAUGGAAAGCAGUUGAGUGCGAAUGCCAAUUGAAUGAAGUUUCAAAGUGGGGUUCUCCGUCUGCUCUAAGUACGAGAUAGAAGUUAUCUCGCAAUAAUCCACAGCGUAGAGGCUGCCAUAGCAGGUAGGAGUUUUGCCAUCAU